AUCAAAGAUGGUCUACCCACUGUUCUCCUGAAUAGAAAACACAACCAGAUUUAAAACUUGGACUGUUUACCCUAAUAACCAAAUAACUCUUUGUUCAGCUUACACAUCUAAAAACAACAUCAGAAAUGGACAAUUGAAAUCCUGCCACCUCCUAUUGAUUCCCCCAUUACUCAGCCUUCAGAUAAGGAUCGCAGGUCAGGAUCAGCUCGGAUAAAAGACAGAGGACAACAUUAUUCAACAGUGUGAAUAAUUGAGCAGCCUUGCAAUCACUUUCCGGAAGGGAAUGGGAAGAUCAUGGCAAUGACCGUGCUUAUCACAUGGCGCCACGGAUCUGUAACCUCUGACAGAGACGUCUGCCUUGCUGGUGUGUUUGAGACGGGUGAUGGAGCAAAGGUACAUCAUGCAUCAUCAUGCAGAGAGGUCAUAUCAGCAGGAUACACUGUUGAAUGAAGGACAGCGUAAAGAUGCCCAAUUACACAACUGUACAUCUUUGAAAAGCAGAUUUGCAGAUUUGUACAGUCAACAAGAACAAGUAGUUUCUGAAUG